AUGAACAAGUUCUCUGAGCUCUCUUCCAUUCCCUCCAAUGAACAAUCAGAGAACUUGUUCAUUGGAGGGAAUGGAAGAGAGCUCAGAGAACGCUCUCU
rnacentral:pre_miRNA from 1 species